rnacentral:rRNA from 1 species
AUGCCAAACCCUAGAGAAGUUGAUCGUGCUCUUUUCAUUGAACAUGUUAAACUGAAGAAGUGUGGUGUGGCUGUUAAAUUUCCCCCCUGGUAUGAGGAUAUUGAUUCUGAAGGGCUCCUAGAGGUUGCUUGGGUGAGGAUUGGGAAAAUCCCUCCUAAUAAACGUUGUGAUAAGACUGUAGCUUAUGUGGGGGGACUUGUGGGUAUAACUCUGGAGGUUGAUAUGUCUACUUUGAAUCGUCCGUCUUCUGUAAGAGCUAAGGUUGGAUGUCGA